GUGCUUGCUUUGGCAGCACAUAUACUAAAAUUGGAAUGAUAGAGAUUAGCAUGAUCUCUGCGCAAGGAUGACACACAAAUUCGUGAAAUAUUCCAUGUUUUU